UUGUAGGCGUGGCCACCGCCGCCUCGCGCGGCCCGCCAAUGUCGCCUGUCGCGACUGUGGGGCGGUGACAAUGGGAGCCCAGGAAAUGCCUCGCUGUCCUGAAAUGUAUCCUUCUGAGUGCAUUGCACAGCCGCAAGCACCGAUCUAAACGAGGAGCGAACUUGUCUCCGUUCUAAUUCCACCGGGAUUCAUCGCUUUGAGUUCCCAAACCCGGCCCAGCCGCAGUCCUCAGGGCUCCCCGCAGCUCGUCCGAUAAAUUCAGGAAGGCAAAGCCUUGCUAAGUACGCAGCGACGAAUUUCUCCUUGAAACCUGGAGCACGGAGGUGCUCGGUGUGGGAAUGCCGAGGGCUGAGGGAGAUGCUGCCUUCUCCUGCAGGUGUGGCCUCAGACGGAAUUCCCGUGAUUUCAGCGGAACCGGGACUCGUCCAUCGGUGGAACUGCAAGUCCUGAAGGAAAUCUCCAAAGCAAGAGUCGAGUUCUGAAUGUUAUUGCUUUCCUAAGGCAUUAUUUUCACGCAUUAUUCACUAAAAUUAGAUUUUAUUCUGAUUUACAUCGUUAAAAUAAACGUAAACUUGUCAGUGGCGGGAGUUCCCGGAGGAUGGUUCUGUCCUCCUCAGCCCUCAGUACCCAAACCCAUCCGUGUCCCUUCCUCUGCUGUGCUUAUGGAAAAUUUAGCAAAACCCACUGCAUGCUCCUGUUUUGGGAAAAAAACUGAGCUAUCAAAUUGUCCCACAUUUCAGGGAAGAGAGGGAAAGUGGUGAUUGUAAAAAGAAAGGAGCAUUUAACUGGGAUCACUGAAUAUUACUGGCAGGACACAGGUAGCUAAUUACUGUCAUUAAUUAGUGCGGGGCAGAUAAAGAGGGAUUUCUUUGUUUUAUUUUUACCCCAUCCAAGGAGAGCUCAAAAGAGGAAAAUAAAAGCCUGGACAGCACAGCUGCUUCUGAGUGUGAAGAUUUGUUUUGCCAUCACUUUCACAAUCAGCUGUUUUUCUUGGGAAACUUCUUCCAAGAGCACCUGGGUGGAAAAACUGCUCUUGAACACCAAGGAGAUGGGAGAAGAAAAGGGAUGCCCUGAAGAACAGGAAGUAAACUGAAAUCCUUUUUUUUUUGGUGGAGAAAUCAUCAAAUCCCAGCUCUGCACCUCACAAGUGGUGGUGUUCCUGAAAGAAGCAGGAGGUUGAUCAAGUGGACACCAAGCAGAACAUACUUCUAAGAACUUUCUUGAAUGGAUUUGUGUCAGGAUACCACAAAUAUCAUGGUCUGGAAUUUCAAGAACAAGAUCCCUGUGGAAGCUGCACAAGGAGCUUUCUCCUGACAGCAAGAAGCAAGUUUUCAUUUUGGCCAGCAAAGACACCAAUCCUGCUGCACAAGAGAGCAGGGAAUUGGUAUGGAAAAGGGAAGGGGCCAGAGAAAGAGGAAUGGAAUUUCAAUGGAAUUGAGGACAGUUUUUGACUCUUCCAGGAAUUCUGACAGAGAAGCACAAGCUGGAAAUUGAACAGGUGUAGAUGUUACAGUCAGCAGAACCAAAGAUUUUUAAAGAGCCAUGGAUUGCACUGAUCCUUUUGGAUGUGAGGGGAACUUUAUGAUUAAUUUAAUCUUUUUUGUUUGUUUUCCAUGUUUUCUAACACAGGGAAACCAGAUUCCUCUAAAAGUUGGAAAUUGAGGGUGGAGACAUACCUGAUAAUGUAGCCCUUGAUUUACAAAAGUUUUAAAGAAUCACAAUUCUUCAGAAUGUCUGAUUUCAACAGGAACUGUUCUGCACUCCACAAAUGUAUUUAUCAUGGAAAGUGGUCUUAGGAGGCCUUCUGGGAUACAACUUCCAAAUAUGCACUUUCCCUGGGAUAACUAACACUUUUUCUAGGAGACUUCUUCCCCAGCAACUCCUUGGUUUUGGGGAAGGAUUUUCACAGAGGUUGGAAAAGAUCUCCAAGAUCACAAGGUCCCAGAUGUGCCCCAUGCCCACCUUGUCCCCAGCCCAGAGCACUCAGUGCCACCUCCAGGGAUGGGGACCCCAAACCUCCCUGGGCAGCCUCUUCCAAUACUUAACAACCAUUUCCAUGAAAAAAACCUUUCCUCCUGAUGUCCAGAAAUUCCUGCCUCAUGUUUUAAACCGGAAGAAAAACUUUUCAUGCUCAGGAGUGUGACCUUCCCCAUGAGUGUGAACACCAAGGAACAAAAUUCCAGGGAGUAUCAGGGAGAACUCAGGGAGAUGCACUUUUUUUUUGGGAACAAGGCUGAUCCAGCAGCCGUUCCAGGACCUUCUGGUCCAGAGGCGUGCCAGCCUACACAAUGUGCAGCUCUGGCUGUCAAUCCAAAGCCGGUACUAUCGAAGCUGGCUCUGAUGAUGACUCAAAAACUGAUCUAUCUCCAUCCCAACGGGUUACCAUGGCAACCCCUCUGGCCUAAAAAGAGCUGGACCACAUUAGUUCCUUAGCAGCACCUUUUUGACAGGCGAAACACAAGCUGCUCCCUCCAGAUGAUGGCACUGAGGCUGUCUGGGAGCUGCCACGGUGCUCUGGGAAGUGUUGAUGAUGUAACCCAUGGAGGAGAACUUCUGCUGGGACUUCACUUGGGGUUGGGCCUAGAACAGUUGCCCUGUUCUUCUAAGUUCUUCUAAGCCUUCUGAUGUUUACGUUGUGUAACAAACUUUCUCACACAGUUUUAUGUAAAUAAUUAUUGGUUUACAUUCUUUUCUGGAGGAGGAGAAAUUUGAUGGACUGUUGGUUUGUCCAGUGUCAUUGGAGAGGUGGCACUGUCAUCCUCCAAUCCACUGUCACUUUUGAAAGCCUAUAAAUGUUCAAGUCAGAAAUUAAACUUCUUUUUACCUCAGAAGUUCCAGUAUCCACGUUGUUUUAUUUUGUGUCCUACAGCGACAGGGGUGUCAUAGACAUAUUUUAUGAAAAAUCCUUUUGUUAGGAUUUCUCUCCUGAGAAUCUGAGAGGCCUCAGAAAUGAAAUGUAAACAAUAAUUAUCUGCUGCUGUGGAAUGCAACAGGUGCAUCUGUGAUUGGUCUCAUGGGGUUGUUUUUAAUUAAUGGCCAAUCCCAGUCCAGCUGUCUCGGACUCUCAGUCACUCACAAGAUUUUAUCAUUCCUUUCCUUUCAAGCCUUCUGAUGAAAUCCUUUCUUCUAUUCUUUUAGUAUAGUG